CCCCCCCCCCCCCCCCCCCCCCCCCCCCCCCCCCCCCCCCCCCCCCCCCCCCCCCCCCCCCCCCCCCCCCCCCCCACGGGGCCGCCAGCGGCGGCAGCAGUACAGGAACCUGUGCUUUCCUCGGCUGCUGGGGGAAGGCGCCCUGGCCCCGCCGGGCCUGGGCUCAGCAGCCUGCGGCGCCCGGGCUUCGCUUCUCUCAGGUACGGCAGAAGGACGAGUGUGGUGAGAGGGAAGAGGCCAGUGACCUGCUCGAUGCCUUGUACCAGAACAGAGAUCAGCUGAAUUGGGAAACUCCCGUUUUAAGAUCAGGAUGUGCUUGUGCCUUACCCGUGUUCCAGUCCUGA
rnacentral:lncRNA from 12 species